GUCGAACGGGGUUAUCAUUUUUGAAGCGAUUAGCUUGCUAAGAGUGGACAAUUUGAUAACUUAGUGGCGGACGGGUGAGUAACGCGUGGGUAACCUGCCUUACACAGGGGGAUAACACUUAGAAAUAGGUGCUAAUACCGCAUAAGCGCACAGUCCCGCAUGGGACAAAGUGAAAAACAUUAGUGGUGUAAGAUGGACCCGCGUCUGAUUAGCUUGUUGGCGGGGUAACGGCCCACCAAGGCGACGAUCAGUAGCCGGCCUGAGAGGGUGGACGGCCACAUUGGGACUGAGACACGGCCCAAACUCCUACGGGAGGCAGCAGUGGGGGAUAUUGGACAAUGGGGGAAACCCUGAUCCAGCGACGCCGCGUGAGUGAAGAAGUAUUUCGGUAUGUAAAGCUCUAUCAGCAGGGAAGAAAGAAAUGACGGUACCUGAGUAAGAAGCCCCGGCUAACUACGUGCCAGCAGCCGCGGUAAUACGUAGGGGGCAAGCGUUAUCCGGAAUUACUGGGUGUAAAGGGAGCGUAGACGGUAAUGCAAGUCUGGAGUGAAAGGCGGGGGCCCAACCCCCGGACUGCUCUGGAAACUGUGUAACUGGAGUGCAGGAGAGGCAGGCGGAAUUCCUAGUGUAGCGGUGAAAUGCGUAGAUAUUAGGAGGAACACCAGUGGCGAAGGCGGCCUGCUGGACUGUAACUGACGUUGAGGCUCGAAAGCGUGGGGAGCAAACAGGAUUAGAUACCCUAGUAGUCCACGCCGUANACGAUGAUUACUAGGUGUGGGUGGGUAUGNACCCAUCGGUGCCGCAGCAAACGCAGUAAGUAAUCCACCUGGG
rnacentral:rRNA from 1 species